rnacentral:rRNA from 1 species
AUGAAAACCUCCAUGAACAUGAGCCUGGCCCACACCUGCUUGAACUCCAUCUUCGUCGCCGAGCAACGGGUGUUGUACAAGUCUGCGCGUGCUCGCAUCGCCUGCAACUCGGUUACGACGCUGUCAGACGUGGAGGUCGGUCCAUCCACAUUCAUCAUCGACCUCAAGCGAACCGGUGACGAACAUGCUACAAACUUCGACAAGGAGGAGUGGGCGCGUGGGAGGCGGCGAGGCCCCGAGUCCUCAUACCAAAAGAACAUUUCUGAAAGACAAGGCACGGACGGGCAUCACCACGCGUCCACGCCCGUCGCUACUCUAGAAAUUCCCCCCACCCUAGAAACAAGGAAAGUCCCAGUUCGACAAGGAAAGCACCGCCGCCGACCUCGCCUGCCCUGCCCAUCCGAUCCGGAUCCGGCCCGAACCCACGCCCUCCACGCUCCACUUUCCUUCUUUACUUCCGCCUCCACGCCACGCCUGCUCGCCGAAGCCAAGGACGAGGCUCCGGUUGGCGCCACCGCCUCUGCCCCGGCUAUAAAGGCGCGCCCUUUGGCCGCCCCGCUCCUCCUCCUCUCUUCGCCCGGGCCGCGCCUUCGCCUCCUCGCCGCGCUCUGGCCGGUCUGCGCCUCCUCCACUCUUCGUCCGGGCCGCGCCUUCGCCUCCUCGCCGCGCUCUCGCCGGUCCGCUGCUCCUCCACUCUUCGUCCGGGCCGUGCCUUUCUCCUCCUCGCCGCGCUCUGCCCGGUUUGCUCCUCCUCCUCCUCCUCUCUUCAUCCGGGCCGUGCCUCCUGCUGUCCUCCUCGGGUCGCAUUUUAUCUUGCUCGUCGUCGUUCGAUUCGUCCGUUUAGAACCGCGGCUGGAUUUGGUUUUGCUCGUCCUCGCCGUCGCCGAGUCGCGUCUGAUUUCAUUUUGCUCGUGCUCGAUUCGUCAGUUUAGAAUCGCUUCUGAUUUGAUUUCCUUCGUCCUCGCCGUCGUCAGUUUAGCGUCGCUUCUGAUUUGGUUCUGCUCGUCCUCGCCGUCGUCCGUUUUUCCUCGUCCUCGCCUUCGCCCCGACGCGCCCGCGUGUUCUUGGUCCGUCUCGUCGAGGGUCUCCGUCUGGUUUGCGGUUGAGAAAUUUCUGCGUGCGCUUCUUCUGUUAUCUGAAAGACACUUUGGAUGUUGCGUUUCGUGUUCGUGUCAGCGCGAGUGUUACAGGAACGGUCAGUAUCUUUGGCCUUUGAUUCUGCUCGUCCUUGCUGUCGUCAGUUUGGAUAGAAUCGCUUUGGAUUUGAUUUUGCUCGUCCUCGCCAUCGUAGGUGCUUUUCUAAGUAUUGUCACAUUUGCUCUUCCUUGUGUUGCUAAGGACACUGAUGGGUUGGGUUUGCUUACAGUGCAGCUCAUCAUUCUAAUUUUAGCUCACCUCUACAGUCAUACAAACUGGCAUGCCAAGGACUGCUCAGGGUUCCUAUCUCUUUCUGUUUUACCAACUAUAAGAAUCCAGGGGUGGAUGGAGGCUUUCAUAUUGAUUUGUUAUUAUGGUUGUUCUGAUGGUGUGCUUCUGGUGUUUGAACUGAAGCCAUGGAUCGCCCAUCAACCUGGUCUGUGUUUGUAUGGACAGAGUUGCAAUGUUUACAUCCAUGGCAGAAGGUUCUUUAACACUGAACUCAUCAUCAAAGGUCCUUGGGCUCAAGAGGAAGAUGACAAAAUUAUUGACCUUGUAAACAAGUAUGGACCAACAAAAAUGAUCUCAUUGCAAGGUCAGCUACUAGAACUUCCUAUUUCUGAUCCUGGGAUGUUCCGAACAUGCUCCCGAACAUAUUUUUCUUGUUCUGUGAUGCAUAUAUCUGACCACUCUUUUCUUAGGCUACUCGGCAUGCUCAGCGUGUUUACGUCAGUGGACUUCCUCCAAUCGCUAAUGAACAGACGGUUGCUCUAUUCUUCAAUCAAGUUAUGGAUGCUAUCGGGGGAAACACAUUUGGUCCAGCAUGUGAUUCAAGCUUUGAAAUGCAUCCUUCCUUGCUAUGAAAAAUCUAGGCAUGCCUGGAACUUCCUGAUUCCUUUCUCAAGCUGUAUGAGUUCUAUACUAAUCUUGCGUGAACACGCUCUGCACCCUCAAUGCAUCGCACGGAUCUUGGCGCGAGGAUCGCCAUGUGAGGCGCAGAAAUUGUUCGCACUAACUGUCCAUGGAGCGAAUUUUCCUUAUAUACCCCCUUCCUCGCUCCACAAACGCCACUCCCCCACCUUUUCCUACCCAGUCUCGCGCUCUGCUCCGCAGAUGAUUCAGUAUGGUAUUGCACGGAUAUUGGUGCAAGGAUUGCCAUGUGAGGCACAUAAAUUGUUCGUGCUAACUGUCGCCUGA